rnacentral:rRNA from 1 species
UACGUAGGGUCCGAGCGUUGUCCGGAAUUACUGGGCGUAAAGAGCUCGUAGGUGGUUUGUCGCGUUGUUCGUGAAAACUCACAGCUCAACUGUGGGCGUGCGGGCGAUACGGGCAGACUGGAGUACUGCAGGGGAGACUGGAAUCCUGGUGUAGCGGUGGAAUGCGCAGAUAUCAGGAGGAACACCGGUGGCGAAGGCGGGUCUCUGGGCAGUAACUGACGCUGGAGGAGCGAAAGCUAGGGGAGCAAACGGG